GUUGCCCCUGCAGAUGCUUGCAGCUGCUUACCUGAGCCGGGUCCCCUUCUUUGGGCCCUCGGGCUCAGGCCCGUAUCGUCACUUUUCCGGCUCCCUUUUACCAUUUUCUAUCUCUCUAUGUGACACUCGCAAUUUCAACUUCGUCUUUUUUCUACGUAUUUGUUUCAGAGAGAAAAUUUGGGGGAAAAAUAAUCGAAGGCAGAAUGAUAGGUUGCGAAGGCAGGACCAAUGGUCAUUAAAUGCUUCCACAAUGGCUUAAGAAGACGAAGCCGACAAAUGAGAAGGGUCUUUCGAAGAGAACACACUGAAGAAAGAAAGAGGAAAACCUCACACUAUCUGAACGAUCCUUCUCUUAUUAUUCCUCCUUUACGACUAUUCUCUACGACUAGACAAUUUGUUGAGAAAACAUGCAGCGUAGACAAUGGGCAGUUAUUAUUGAAAUUUUUCCAUUGCCAAAUGGAACGUAAGAAUUGAUGAAGUUAGACGUCGUCUAACCAGUGUUUGUCUCAACUUGCUGCACUUUGUUCUUUUGCUGAUUUAUUUCUUUUUUUGCAGGACAAGAACAAUCGAUGAAUUUUAUGAAAAUUUGCUGGAACAUCAGGCCUCCUUCUUUCGUCCCAAGUGAUUUCUUUGGAGUCGAUGAGGGAGGAAACGAAUAGAUCGCGAUAGAAAGAUCUGGUACUGCUUCCUGCGGAAGCUUUUUUCUGAAACCGGAGACGCAUUUAUCAGUGGUGGUGGUGUUCCAGAAUGAAACCGAGGGGAUGCGAAAACAACUGCGGCAGAUGUGAACUCUUGGCACGCGCCCUUCUGUUUAACAGUGGUGCUCACGUUUCGAUCGAAACGAGAAAAUUCGAUGGAUUUCGAAGCUGAAAGUUUUAACAGUUUGUUUUCGAAAUCUUAAAAUUCCGGUUGGAGUACGCUCUUGUUUGAUAGUUCUUAUAUCUUAAAUUUUAUAGAAUCUAAUUUAUUUUUAUAUCUAUUAACCAGGGAAAAUGAGUUAACUUGUUGAUAGUUAAAUCAAUUGUAUUAUGUUUAUAUUUGAUGAUCACGUGUGGAAAGUAUUGUAAUCCAUCUUUGUCAAUUUCCUCAAUUGACUUCUCUGAUAUUUUUGAUUUAAUUUAUUAAAAAAAUGGUUGUUUUCAGUAAGUUUCUUUGUUUCAGAGCGACGCCAGUUGGAAAUAGCUAGUUUUCUAUUCUUCUAAUAUCUGAGGCUGAUGAUAAGAAUUCUCUGACAAGAAUCUGAGCCGCAUGAUCGUUACAAUUAUCCCUUUUAAAUAUAAAUAUAAUAUAAGGCAUAAUAAUAUUUGGCCAGAUGAAUAAAACGACAAUGUAUUAACAAUGAACGUAUAAAAAGCAUCAUCAUUUGUAAAGCGUCCACGCGCGCAUCGGAAGCCAACUGUAUCAAGUUACUUCCUGUGCCUGACAUUGAAACUUUAUAAUCUACAGUAGAAGAGUUAUCUUAUUCAUUCACUCUACAGAGAACUAACAAUUAGCCAAUUGCUUCCAAAGAAACCGCAAAUCGAAUCAUCACCGGAUCAAAUUAAUUAACCGCUUCGAAACCAGUUUGACCAGAUGGAUAGUGGACGGACAGAUUUCAAGUUUGCUUGGUUACGGCUCUCCUUCUGAUUUCUCUUUCGCGAUUCGACAUUAAAACAGGAAGUCGGAGGAGGAAUCGAUUUUCCCGGAAUUUCUGUCGGUCAGGUAUCGUUGCUUAUUGAAUCCGAGGAUCGAUUGGGAUUCGUGCCAAAAGGAACCUUUCGUUUUCUAUAAGGAUAAAUUACAAAUCCUUCGGCGACAAAGGGCUAGGAGGAACGUGGUUAUUCAAACAACCUUUUUUCUCUGUUUUGCGAGAAGUUUAUGGAAAAUCGUCUCGCGACACACCAUCCCAGUAUUCCCCGUCUCGAGGAGCUGUUCAUCAGAGAGGAUUAAAGUUGGAGGUACACGGCCGCCACUUUGUAUUCCAUUGGCAAAUUUAUUCGUCGUCCUCCACGUGGAUUAUUUAUCAGAGGAGACGUUGUAUCGGAUCGGAAAUCUCGUCGUUCUGGGAAAAACCAAUGGUUCGCAAUAUGUAUCCAGCAUAAGAAGUGAACGACCAGUCAUUUUCAUCACAAUCACGAACUCUACGACUCUGUUCGCGGUAGACUGGUGAAAUCAUCGUGGAUUCCGAGCUCGUUUGUGUCCCUCCUGGUUAACGAUUCACAACAAUCGCUUAGAUACGUUUUACAGUUAUUAUCACCGAUAGAUAACGACCGUUUCAUUCAGUUUCUCGACGUUGUUCGAUCGCCGUUCUCGAUCUUUCGUUCUCACGUCUGAUAUCGUCAAUCCUAAAAAUAUACGUAUGUACGAGAGAAGACAUACUGUUGCGACGUUCACCUGUCGCGUGCCAAGCUACACCUGCUUAAGUAACUUUCCUCAUUCGAGUUCUCACCAUCUGCUUCUUUUUCGAGUUUUGGUGACCGAUUGGCAGAUGCCAUGGAUUUGACGGUUUUUAAUAAUUUUAUUUCAAACCUUUUAAACACCGCCGACAAUUUUUCUGUACGAGAUCACAAGUGAAAUUUAUAUCUUGUAUAAGUUAUCAUAAAGGGACUCCACUGCAAUGCAAAAUAGGAAGUUAAAGUAACGAAAUAAAUAGAACGCGAUUUUGGCAUCGCUCGCGGCUACAGAGUUAAUUACAUAUAUAUUACGUUAUCACAUUCCCAUAGCUUUACGUUUUUUAUUGAGGAAACUUUGACAAAAAAAAAAAAAAGAUGUGGAUGAACAAUGAUUCCACAGUAUUUAUUCCGGUCUUGCACGCAGUGUAUCAUACUGUACGUACGUGUACGCGUAUGAGAAAUGCCUUGGCAUGCGAACUUGUCUAAAUUGAGCUGGGAAUUCCGUUAAAUAAGAAAUAAUUUCUUUCAAGGUUUUACUAACUUAACUCGAGCAGAAAUUCACAUGAUUCUCUUAUUAGCAACAUUUCAAUAUACAGUAAAUAUAGCACACACACACACACACACAUAUAUUUUACAUAUAUAUGUAUGCACACGUUGUUAAUUGUUAUGUAAAUGCAGAAUAGACAUACUCGUGUUUUGAAUAUCAGUGAACAUAGGAAUAAUUAUAUUUAACUUAAUCAGUAGUUACAAAAAGAUUUUCAUUCAUUAAACUUUCUGGUUUAGUUUAAAAUGUAUACGUACCUACUAUUAUUACUUUAAAAAAUAUUUUUACAUUAAUUCUCUAAAAAAGAAAAAGUAAUGAAAAGACAAUGUAAUGAAAAGAGUGCUACUUGAAAUGAAAAACGUAAGACAAUUUAUGAUACGGAGAAUGCUUAAAAAGUUUAUAAAAUGCUCAAUGUUCGAAUUCUAUUAAAUAUAAAUAAAGAAAAGAGUUCAAGCUCCAAUUUGACAGAGAUGUAACACGAAAAAUUACAAGUUCAUCCAAUUUUUAUAAAUUUAAAAUUUGCGCAAUUUAUGGACAUCGAGAUGUUAGCGCCGCGAAGCGGUGAAGCAGUGAAACUAACCUCUUUGUUGAUAUCAUAAGAUGUAAUUAAUUUCAAGUUUUUACGCGGUCAAAUUGCAUUCUGUACAUAUACAUUUCAAAAUUAACUCUUUCAAUUUACGUUC